UACAGAGGGUGCGAGCGUUAAUCGGAAUUACUGGGCGUAAAGCGCACGUAGGUGGCGACGUAAGUCGGGUGUGAAAGCCCCGGGCUCAACCUGGGAAUUGCAUUCGAGACUGCAUUGCUGGAGUACGGAAGAGGAAGGCGGAAUUCCCGGUGUAGCGGUGAAAUGCGUAGAGAUGUGGAGGAGCACCAGUGGCGAAGGCGGCUUUCUGGUCUGUAACUGACGCUGAGGCGCGAAAGCGUGGGGAGCAAACAGG
rnacentral:rRNA from 1 species